AGUGGUUGCGUAAGCAAGCAUCUUUCCAGGUGCCUGUCUACAUAGACAGUGAGGAAGAGCAAGAUAUCCCUUUGCUUAUCUUAAAGACGUACUGCACAGGACACCAACAAAACUGAGGUUUACAGAUGAAGUGCAGCUUAUCUGUGAUGUUCUUUUUCCAGAGGCCAUCAUACAUGCUCUGGGGGUCUUGAGGGGUUUGUCUUUAGAUGAUGCUGAGCAGGUCUACCUUUCUGGCACAAAAUAUCAUUACAGUGAAGUAGAAGAAUUUAGUCGAAAAAUUGACAAAAAAUCUAGGAAAGAAGGGAGACCAUUCAAGAGAUUCUCUCUCCCUCUCUCAUUCACAGGAGCUAAAGGAAUGCUGCUUUUUGUGCUAUUGUGGCUGUUGUGUGUGGAUGUUUAAAUAAAU